rnacentral:rRNA from 1 species
UAGGGAAUCUUCGGCAAUGGACGAAAGUCUGACCGAGCAACGCCGCGUGAGUGAAUAAGGGUUUCGGAUCGUAAAACUCUGUUGUUAGAGAAGAACAAGGACGUUAGUAACUGAACGUCCCCUGACGGUAUCUAACCAGAAAGCCACGGCUAACUACGUGCCAGCAGCCGCGGUAAUACGUAGGUGGCAAGCGUUGUCCGGAUUUAUUGGGCGUAAAGCGAGCGCAGGCGGUUUCUUAAGUCUGAUGUGAAAGCCCCCGGCUCAACCGGGGAGGGUCAUUGGAAACUGGUGGACUUGAGUGCAGAAGAGGAGAGUGGAAUUCCAUGUGUAGCGGUGAAAUGCGUAGAUAUAUGGAGGAACACCAGUGGCGAAGGCAGCUCUCUGGUCUGUAACUGACGCUGAGGCUAGAAAGCGUGGGGAGCAAACAGG